rnacentral:tRNA from 1 species
AGUUCGAAAGUUUUAAACGCUAAGUUGCAAACUUAGAGAAGCUCUUGCUCGGGCUA